AGAAUCAACGCUGGCGGCGUGCCUAACACAUGCAAGUCGCACGAGAAAGGGACUUCGGUCUUGAGUAAAGUGGCGCACGGGUGAGUAACACGUGACUAAUCUGCCCUCGAGUGGGGAAUAACUGAGAGAAAUCUUAGCUAAUACCGCAUAACACUUACGAGUCAAAGCAGCAAUGCGCUUGGGGAGGAGGUCGCGGCCGAUUAGCUAGUUGGCGGGGUAAUGGCCCACCAAGGCGAUGAUCGGUAUCCGGCCUGAGAGGGCGCACGGACACACUGGAACUGAAACACGGUCCAGACUCCUACGGAGGCAGCAGUGGGGAAUUUUGCGCAAUGGGGGAAACCCUGACGCAGCAACGCCGCGUGGAGGAUGAAGUAUCUUGGUACGUAAACUCCUUUCGAUGGGGAAGAUAAUGACGGUACCCAUAGAAGAAGCCCCGGCUAACUUCGCGCCAGCAGCCGC
rnacentral:rRNA from 1 species